GACGAACCGAGCGAACGUUGUUCGGAAUUACUGGGCGUAAAGGGCGCGUAGGCGGCCUUCUAAGUCAGACGUGAAAUCCCCCGGCUUAACCUGGGAACUGCGUCUGAUACUGGAAGGCUUGAGUGCGGGAGAGGGAUGUGGAAUUCCAGGUGUAGCGGUGAAAUGCGUAGAUAUCUGGAGGAACACCGGUGGCGAAGGCGGCAUCCUGGACCGACACUGACGCUGAGGCGCGAAAGCUAGGGUAGCAAACGGG
rnacentral:rRNA from 1 species